CCAUAAACUAUAUUCAAAUUUCAAUUUCUUCCUUUAGAGUUUGAAUAAUGCUAUAAUCACCCUUUUAUGAGUUUCUUGAACUUAGUGAUUCUUUGACUCGACGUGGUGAGAAAGUCAUCAGUUCGAACCUGACCUAAUUAAACUCAAUGUGAGAACGGAUUAGACAUGAAUAGGUAAAAAUAGUUCCUAUGUGCUAUUAAAGGAAAUAAGAAAUUAAUUUUAUCGAAUUCUUUCAGGUUCAAAACAAAAUUUGUUUAAGAUUUUGAUGCAUACUUUAAGAAAAACAUUAGCAUUUAUUAUAAGAAUUGUCUGGCUAAUUAAUAUUUUCUUAAUUUUUUAAAAUAAUAUUUAUUCUGGACUAACUUAACUUGGAGAACAACACUUAUUAUAGACCAGAUGAAUAAUAAUAAUAAUAAUAAUUAUUAUUAUUAUUAUUUGUCUCUUUAACUUUUUCUCCGUGGCUAUAAUAAAGGCUACUUGCAUGGAGUGGUUGGAGAAAGGCAAUAUUGGAGUUUUAUGAUAAACUUAUUAUAUUAUACAACCCAUUUAACAAAUUAGUGGAUUCAACAAGUUCAUUUGGCCCUAUCCAUUAAGGAUCGUUUGGUUUAAAGACGAAUUAUGCAUAUAUUAAUAAUGCAGAGAUUUUUUUUGUUGGAUGUUUAGUAUGUUAAUAUAUUAGAAAUUAAAAUACAAUGUGAUGUAAAUAUGUGUUUACUUUUUAAAACGAAAUAGAAGUCCGUUUACUACUAUGAGGGUUAGUUGUGUUAAUUUAUAGUUUUUUUUCCAUAUAAUAUAAAUAUUGAUGCUCUUCUUUUAUAUUUUGUUCAUUAUUACUCAUGUCAUGUUAUGUUUAGUUUGUACUAAUAUUUUCUAUUUGAGGGUGAUAUAUUUCUAAAAAUAUUACAACUAUGACAUAUUUCAUACAUAAAGGAACAAAAAAACAUUUUAACUAAUUAAAGUUAAAUGUAUUAAUUCUUAUAAUAUAAGGAUCAAAAUAUAUUUUUUCAAUAAUUGAGGGACCAAAAGUGUUAUUCUCUUCUUCUUUGAUGUACCUUUAUAACAAUAGUAAUAUUUUCAAUAUAAUUUCGCAAAUGAGGUUUGAAAUGGUGCGUACGCAACCUUACCUCCUUGUGAAGGUACGUAAAGUGGUUGUUUUCGAUAAACUCUCGGUUCAAGUACAGUAUGAUAAAAUCAAGUUUGAAAGGAAAAAUAUGAUAAUAACGAAGUCAUGUUGAACAUAAUAGAGAAGAGAAUAGUCGCAACAACACAUAAUUUUAUAUCAUAGUAAAAAUUAUUAAUAUUCACUUUUCUCUAGAGGUAUUCUCAAUCUCUAAUAUAUUAAUCUUAAUAGUUUCCCUCCAUCACUUUCAAAAGUUGCUUUCAAGAGCCAAAUGUGUAUAUAUAUAUUCAAUAUAAGAGGCUACCCUAUUGAAUUAAAGAAAAACAACAUCUAGGUAUACUAGCAAUUAAUUGUUAGAAGACUAAAAUUUCCCUUUGACAUCCAAAAAAAUGUAUGCUUUUUGCCUUUUGCAUAGUGGGAUUUUUAUUACAAAACACCAAAACUACAAGUAGCUAUCUUUUUGACUUCUUUGGAACAUCCCAUUUAAUUAUUUUUUGUGUGCAUAAUUUACAUCACAAUUAUGUAUACCCACAAAACUAUAUGGCAUACAUGCAUCAUAGUCAUUAUUGCAAAGUAAUAAAGAAAGACCUAACAUAUUAUCAGAUUUGUAGUUUCACAAUAAACGUUAAAUAAAAUAGAUAGUUCAUAUAACUAAAAAAUGUGAUGAAAUGAAUACAAUUAAAAAUCUAUAAUACAUUCAAAAAUAUUAUCUUCACCGACUUUGUAAGAUCUUACCUUCAUCACGAUAUUAGUGACUUAACUUCUCCGCUCUUUCCACACGAUCUUUUGAAUAAAGAGAGAAAGUAAGGAGCUAGGCGAGUGGGUAUAGAAGGUUGGUGAUCAUCCGCUAUGAAAAGCUAAGUUUUCGGUCUACCCCCUCCCCCUAUGUGAUUGGUCUUCUUAUCAAUCUUUCGCGAUCUUCAUCCAUGAAGGGUGAGUCAAGAUCGAGACUUCAGAUCAAAUCAAAAGGCAUAGUCAAUAAACAACAUGUUUAUAUACUAUAUUGUACUAUCCUUAAUCAGAAGUCUCAAUUCGAGCCUCUAAGUUGGAAUGGAAAAAAGCUUAUGUGAUACUAAUUUAAGUUAAUCAAAUCAAUGACCGCCGAAUAGUUAAUUUUGUCCUCUUUCUCUUAUUUUUCAGUAAUC
rnacentral:lncRNA from 1 species